GGCACGGUGGUCGAGCAGCGAAGACGCCCGCCUGCAAAGCGGGUCAUCGCGGGUGCGAGUCCCGCCCGUGCCU
rnacentral:tRNA from 1 species